UACGUAGGGAGCAAGCGUUGUUCGGAUUUACUGGGCGUAAAGGGCGCGUAGGCGGCGCGGUAAGUCACUUGUGAAAUCUCUGAGCUUAACUCAGAACGGGCAAGUGAUACUGCAGUGCUAGAGUGCAGAAGGGGCAAUCGGAAUUCUUGGUGUAGCGGUGAAAUGCGUAGAUAUCAAGAGGAACACCUGAGGUGAAGACGGGUUGCUAGGCUGAUACUGACGCUGAGGCGCGAAAGCCAGGGGAGCAAACGGG
rnacentral:rRNA from 1 species